GGGCCAGUAGCUCAUCUGGUAGAGCACCUGCUUUGCAAGCAGGGGGUGGCAGGUUCGAGCCCUGUCUGGUCCA
rnacentral:tRNA from 1 species